rnacentral:rRNA from 1 species
ACUCCUACGGGAGGCAGCAGUAGGGAAUAUUCGGGCAAUGGACGGAAGUCUGACCCAGCCAUGCCGCGUGCAGGAAGAAGGAAUUCUGGGUUGUAACACUGCUUUUAUCUAGGAAGAGAAACGCCCAUGCGUGGGAAGACUGACGGUACUAGAUGAAUACCAGCACCGGCUAACUCCGUGCCAGCAGCCGCGGUAAUA